GGGGGUUCCCCCCGAGGGGCAGGAGCGGCGGCGGGUGCCGGUCCCGUCCCCCCUCCCCGCCGGGGCUGAGGAAGCGGAGGGAGCCGCGUGAAGUGCAAGUGUUCAAGGAAAGGUCCUAAAAUAAGAUUCUCUAAUGUAAGGAAGCUGGAAAUAAAACCGAGGUACCCAUUCUGCGUGGAAGAGAUGAUUAUCGUGACUCUGUGGACACGGGUGAGGGGCGAGCAGCAGCACUGCUUAAACCCCAAACGCCAAAACACAGUGAGACUGCUCAAGUGGUACAGAGUAUGGAAAGAGAAAGGCAGGGUUUAUGAAGAAUAAGAGGAAGCGGCAUGAAGAACAGAGCAGACUCCCUUGGCUGGCAUAGGACUGGGCUCUGCAGAAGAUUAUUUCUCUCUCACAGACAUAAGACACAAUCUAUAUUAUUAUAAAGCACUUUUUACCAAGGGUCAGUUUUUACAUUUUAUAGCCACAUGCAAAAGGCUUCCAGAUUCCACAUGCAUCUGUUGCACUUCAGAUUUCAUACCCGUCUGCUCUGUACUGAGAUUGGGGAAACUCAUGCUUUUCAUUUUAAAGAGGUUGGAUUUGGAUUUGUUGGGGUUUUUUUUAUUGUUAUUCAUUCAUACUUCACUAUGAUUGCAAUCGAGCUUUAUAAGCUCAUUAAACAAACAGUAAUGUUUGUAAAGGUGUUAUACAGCCAUGUCCCUCACCCUUUCGCAGUGGGAAAGCUUCGGUGCUGUGGUUCUUUGUCAUGUUUGCAGCCUCCAAUUUAGUCAGGCAAAGCAGGGACCAAAGAUGAGCUUGCUGGGGAAGAUGCCACUGGAAUGUCAUGGCUGUAACAGCAGAAGUGAGGUCCCUCAGCCCAUCGUCAAUGAGUGUGAACAUCACUUGUGCACCUCUUCUUCAAUGGACUUGAGGUCUUGCUGCAAGGUGAAGCAUACCAGAUCUCCUAUCUAAUGUUCCAUGCAUUAGAAAGCAUUUCUAGGUCAUUUUUAUUACUAAGCAAAUGUUUAUUUUGUUUUUCGUUUUUGGUUUUUUGGGGGUUUUUUUUUUCCAACUGAAGCUCUUACAGAAAGUUUGUGGCUUCAUUACUGAGACAUUUUAAGCUUCAAGACUAUCGUGUAUGAUUUCCUAGAUUUGUAGCAAUGAAAAAAAGCCUUUAAAAGGUACCUUUUUAUGAAAAAAAUAUGAUAGGGCAAACAUAUAAAUACCUAUGUUUUAGUCACAACAUAUUCAUUAUUUUGAAUGUAAUACUUCAAUGUUAAGCAGUGCAUUCCUCUUUCUAAAAUAACAAAACUACCUUUUCAUUUGUAAAUAUACUCUAGGAAGUCUCCCUGUAUUAUCUCGCUGUAUAAUGUACUGUACCGCUAAAUUAUCAUAUGCUAUUUAAAUGGUUGAAAUAUUUAGAAGGUUGCAUGCAGAUUUCAUAUUUCUUUCUAAGACAAAUGAAAAAAAGAAAUAAAAAAUGUAUUUAAAA
rnacentral:lncRNA from 1 species